rnacentral:rRNA from 1 species
AGUGAACGCUGGCGGUAGGCCUAACACAUGCAAGUCGAACGGCAGCACAGUAAGAGCUUGCUCUUACGGGUGGCGAGUGGCGGACGGGUGAGGAAUACAUCGGAAUCUACUUUUUCGUGGGGGAUAACGUAGGGAAACUUACGCUAAUACCGCAUACGACCUACGGGUGAAAGCAGGGGAUCUUCGGACCUUGCGCGAUUGAAUGAGCCGAUGUCGGAUUAGCUAGUUGGCGGGGUAAAGGCCCACCAAGGCGACGAUCCGUAGCUGGUCUGAGAGGAUGAUCAGCCACACUGGAACUGAGACACGGUCCAGACUCCUACGGGAGGCAGCAGUGGGGAAUAUUGCACAAUGGGCGCAAGCCUGAUCCAGCCAUACCGCGUGAGUGAAGAAGGCCUUCGGAUUGUAAAGCCCUUUUGUUGGGAAAGAAAAACAGCAGGUUAAUCCCCCGCUGUUCUGACGGUACCCAAAGAAUAAGCACCGGCUAACUUCGUG